UUUUGGGGCAUGGGCUGUACCCAUGGCUGGGUUUUUCUCUCCAGAUAUCUGCACAACCUUCAUCUUCCCUCUGCACCUGGCCGAGUUGCUUCAGCCUCUACAAGACACAUAUUUGAAGGAAGUUCUCUCAAUCCUGGUAAGGAAAGUGAGUGAAAGGACAUCUACAUCCUCCUCCUUCCCACUCCACCUGAGCCACCUACGCCUCUUCAGGGGGCCCCAAGGGACCUACCUUAAUCCAGAUCAAGUACCUGGUUUGAGUCUUGGGUGCGCAGUUUUCUAGAAUCACGAUGGAGUGCAGCUUGACUUCCGGAAAAGUGGACUUCAGGUUAUGAAUAUGACCAGACGAUCCAAAUGGCAGUUAUCUUGGGAUGUACAGUGCUGGUGUCUGUGCCUUUUCUCUCCAGCGGUCUCCUCUACGACCCCCUCCUUCCCUCCCAUGUUAGCCUCUACCACCCCCAGGGACAAGGAACACACCCAAAUCCAGAUCUCCUCAAACUUCUUCCCUCACACCCGAGUUUCUUCCCCCCCAGGAGUCUCCUGGUGCAUGGAACUGACCAGAAACUGGGGUUCCCCAAAGCCUCUGUCUGCCUUCUGCAGCUGAGCUGCUUCAGCCUCUGUGGGACACCCAUUUGA
rnacentral:lncRNA from 1 species